rnacentral:rRNA from 1 species
AUUGAACGCUGGCGGCAGGCCUAACACAUGCAAGUCGAGCGGAUGAGAGGAGCUUGCUUCUUGAUUCAGCGGCGGACGGGUGAGUAAUGCCUAGGAAUCUGCCUGGUAGUGGGGGACAACGUUUCGAAAGGAACGCUAAUACCGCAUACGUCCUACGGGAGAAAGCAGGGGACCUUCGGGCCUUGCGCUAUCAGAUGAGCCUAGGUCGGAUUAGCUAGUUGGUGAGGUAAUGGCUCACCAAGGCGACGAUCCGUAACUGGUCUGAGAGGAUGAUAAGUCACACUGGAACUGGGACACGGUCCAGACUCCUACGGGAGGCAGCAGUGGGGAAUAUUGGACAAUGGGCGAAAGCCUGAUCCAGCCAUGCCGCGUGUGUGAAGAAGGUCUUCGGGUUGUAAAGCACUUUAAGUUGGGAGGAAGGGUUGUACGUUAAUACCGUGCAAUUUUGACGUUACCGACAGAAUAAGCACCGGCUAACUCUGUGCCAGCAGCAGCCGCGGUAA